rnacentral:rRNA from 1 species
AACGAACGCUGGCGGCAUGCCUAACACAUGCAAGUCGAACGAGACGUCCGGGUCUUUUUGCGCUCGUCGACGUGCGACGGGGUAAGUUGCACUUGGGUUCCGUAUACCUCCCCGAAGGGUAACUUAAUGACGGUUAAUGUCUUCGGGCCAAGGAUGUAUCGCCUUUGGGUGGGGCCGCGUUGGAUUAGCCGGUUGGUAGGGUACAAGCCGACCAUGGCGACGAUCCUGAGCUGGUCGGAGAGGAUGAGCAGCCACACUGGGACUGAGACACGGCCCAGACUCCUACGGGAGGAAGCAGUGGGGAAUAUUGGACGAGGGGCGAAAGACUGAUCCAGCAAUGCCGCGUGAGUGAUGAAGGCCUUAGGGUUGUAAAGCUCUUUUACCCGGGAUGAUAAUGACAGUACCGGGAGAAUAAGCGCCGGCUAACUCCGUG